rnacentral:tRNA from 1 species
GCGGAUUCUGUGCACAGAAUUCGCACCA